ensembl:lncRNA
AUGAAGCUGCUUCUUUCUCUGACUCUCAUCUGGGCGCUCUCCAGCACAGGUGCAGCACUUGUGUGUCAAACCUGCACAACUAGUGCCUGUACAGCCACAGUACCAAUGACUUGUUCCUCAGAGACGAUGUGUAUAACAGCCUCCAUUCAAGAGACUUCAGGUGGAACUCCAGUACAGCAAAUCUUCAAGGCGUGUGCAUCGUCCUCCUUGUGUCCAGCCAUCAGCUCUGAGGCAUUUUCAGUCAACCUGGGUGUUUCCAGUGGACUUGCAUCUGCUGCGUGCUGCAACACAGAUAACUGCAACUCAGCCAAUGUACCUUACCCUGGUGAUCCGGACGUGAACACCCUCCUGUGUUACUCCUGUGACCCCCUCACGUCUCAAUGCACCUCUUUGUUACAAUGUAAGGGAGCAGAGGAUCGCUGCAUUAAAGCCAGUGUAACAAAUGGGUCGACGACUACUCCGGCGUUUGGCUGCGCAACGAACAACAUGUGUGAAGCUGCUGCCAGCUCGGGACAACUACCUUUCUUCGAAAGCGUUGGUAACGUCACCGGAGCAGCCUGUUGCACGGACAGUUUAUGGCCGAAGACUAAAAAUGGUCGAAGGACCUUUGAAGCCACCAGAAGACUCUGAGGACCUUGUCUGGUCUCGGGUUUACUCCCUCUAACCUUUAGUUGGCAGUUACAGAGGCGACAAUGGACUCAGAGGCUAAUCAUGAAAACACAACAAAUGAGAAACAGCUUUAAUUUACUUGGUACAUAUUCUCUGGGGAUUUCUUUUCAAACCUGUGUAUUUUUCAAAUGGACUGAAUGCCCUAAUAUUAUAUGACCUGUUAGAUUGUUUAGGAUAUUUAAUAAAACAAGAUACUUCAAUUGAAAAAAACAUAAGAGAAAGUCUAUAGGAGAAGAAAAACAGUCCUUAUAUUAAAGUAACAAAUGUGUUUUUUUAAUGAGUUAAGUGGACUUUUUUCAGGUUUUUCUUUCUUUUGAAAUUAUUAUUAUCAUCAUAUUGCCAGGGUUCAUCAGUACAGGCAAACAAUUUUAAUGAAGUUGCCUGCCAAAGACAGUAUUUUUACAUUCAGUCACAGCUAACGAGGCACAAAGGUUUAAAAGUUCUAUCAUUAUUAUUAUUAUAUAUAAAACAAUAUUUUUGCAUCAUGAAGUCCCCACAGAAAUGAUUUGUCAUUUGAGAUGACAAACAACACUUUCAGGUUCCUUUCUGCAAAAGCCAUUUUUAUUUAAUAAUAAAUUUUCUCUUUUCCUGGAAUAAACUAUGUCAUUCUUUGUCUUGUGUGAGUACUUGAAUGUACACGUACAUUCACACAUCAGUCUUAGAAGUGAGGACAUUUUGGGAAAGAGAGGACAUUUUUGCCGGUCCUCCCUUUUUUUUGGUUUGAGGGUUAAGACUUGGUUUUUAGGAUUAGGGUUGCUAUUCGAUUUAGGUUAGGGUUAGGUUAAGGGUUGGCUUUAGUCAUUUAGUUGUGAUGGUGAGGUUAGGUAGGGUAAGGGGCUUUAAAAUGCAUUACACCAAUAAAUGCCAAUCCCAGCGAGAGGCGGGGUUCACCCUGGACAGGUCUCCAGCCAAUCACAGGGCCACAUACAGAGACAAACAACCAUUCACUCUCACAUUCACACCUACGGUCAAUUUAGAGUCUCCAAUGAACCUAACCCCAUUCUCAUGUCUCUGGACUGUGGGAGGAAGCCGGAGAACCCGGAGAGAACCCACGCACACACGGGGAGAACAUGCAAACUCCACACAGAAAGGCCCUGGUUGGUUUGAACCGGGAUUCGAACCCAGAACCUUCUUGCUGUGAGGCAAAAGGGCUAACCACUACACCACCGUGCAGCUGUAUUAGAAAAUGUUCCUGGAUAAAGUUAAAGCUCUUCAGUGGCGUUUGUGUGACCAACAAGCAGCUUUCAGAAGACCAGAUAAUGACACAGGCCGUGGUAUUCAAUUUGUUCCAAAGUUUAAGAAGCAUCACAGAGUGGAUUACUAAUAUGGAACAAACACAUACAGAAGAAAUUGACAGUGUCCGGAGAGAAAACAGAAUCCAGCCAACCCUUUUGUGCAUGGGGUCACUGCUGAGUCUGAAUUGCUGCCAGGCAUGACACCAACAAAGGCAGAAAUUUGUAUGACCAACACUGGGAAUGGAUCUGAGCUAGCAUUUGAAAAGUUAAAUGACGCUGUCACAGGACGGAGCCCAACACACGGUUGACCCACAGACGGCAUUGGUCACCGAAAAUAACCAUUCACUUCCAGGCAUGUCACAGAGUCUCUGAGUGAGCUCGAGACAAAGUACAAAGAUCUGGUUUGCUAGUGUGACGUGCGGCGGCCAAGUAGCACUAAUGUGCUAAAACAGGUUUUACAAACGGAGGGAAAAAGUAAAAAGUAUAAAUGAAGGGAAAAACUUUGAUAGCAAGUUGCUGUGUGAUUUUGGCCGUCAUGGCGAUCUUACCAAGUUCCUCUCAGACCUGAAUGUCAUGCUCCGAUGUCCCAACAAGCUUCUGCUUUAAAAUGUCAAGGGGAAGUUAAGCUGUUGUUUUGGCUCCACAUCACUUUGCCCACAACUUUAGUUCUGCUUCACUCAUCCGAUGUUUUGUUAAAACUCCUUCAGGCUUUUGGUGAGAACUUUCAUGACAUGAAAAGAAAACAAAAGAAACUGAAAUUUGUCGUUGAGCUGUUUAUUGUGGAUCCAGCUGGUGUGACUGGAAAACCACAAAACGGAAUCAUUGAAACUGCAGAGCAACAACCGCCCUCUGCCCCAGUCCGGUGAACUGUAUUUACGUCCUGAGGCUGUAUCUCCGUUUGAGUCAAAACCAGCUACCGCCUCAGUUUCCUCAAGACUAACCGACCCAAACCUGGUCAACCAGCUGCCAGUGACAUCAUCAUCAUCAUCACUGCCAUCUAAAAGAGAAGCAGUGACAGCCAUCAAAUAAUAAUAGAGGUUUGCAUUAGAUGUUGCUGACGAUGUCAUGUACCAAAGAAAACACGAGAGGCUGCUCCCAGCAAGUUCACAUCACGUCUGUUUCCCUUUGAGCGACUGGAUGGUAAUGAAGCGGCUGUUGUCCUGAACGCCGACAGUUAGAGUUGAUCAUUUUGGAGUUUAACUUGAGACUUUGUUAAAAACAAGAACUGGAAUUCUUCAG